AAUCUUGUCGGAAGCAGGCGGGACCAUCCGCCAAGGCUAAAUAUAAACGAGUGAGCGAUAGUGAACCAGUACCGUGAGGGAAAGGUGAAAAGAACCGCGGGAGCGGAGUGAAAGAGAACCUGAAACCGUAUGCCUACAAGAAGUCAGAGCCCGUUAAAGGGUGAUGGCGUGCCUUUUGUAGAAUGAACCGGCGAGUUACGAUAUUAUGCGAGGUUAAGCUGAGAAGAGCGGAGCCGCAGCGAAAGCGAGUCUUAAUAGGGCGGAAGUAGAAUGUCGUAGACCCGAAACCGGGUGAUCUAGCCAUGAGCAGGUUGAAGUUGAGGUGAAACUCAAUGGAGGACCGAACCGACUACCGUUGAAAAGUUAGCGGAUGACUUGUGGCUAGGGGAGAAAUUCCAAUCGAACCCGGAGAUAGCUGGUUCUCCCCGAAAUAGCUUUAGGGCUAGCGUCGCAGCGAGAGAGCCGUGAAGGUAGAGCACUGAAUAUGCGAUGGCCGCAUCCCGCGGUACUGAGCAUAAUCAAACUCCGAAUGUCACGGUGUCAUCUGCGGCAGUCAGACGGCGAGUGAUAAGGUCCGUCGUCAAGAGGGAAACAGCCCAGACCAUCAGCUAAGGUCCCAAAGUGCAUGCUAAGUGGAAAAGGAAGUGGAGACGUGCAGACAACUAGGAGGUUGGCUCAGAAGCAGCCAUCCUUCAAAGAGUGCGUAACAGCUCACUAGUCGAAUGACUCUGCGCCGAUAAUUUACCGGGGCUAAGCAUGACACCGAAGCUAUGGACAGGAAUGUGGUAGGGGAGCAUUGCAUGCAGCGGAGAAGCAUGACCGAAAGGGCAUGUGGAGCGCAUGGAAGAGAGAAUGCCGGCGUGAGUAGCGGCACGUGGGUGAGAAUCCCACGCACCGAUGGCCCAAGGUCUCCAGAGGAAGGCUCGUCCUCUCUGGGAUAGUCGGGACCUAAGGCGAGGCCGAAAGGCGUAGCCGAUGGACGACGGGUGGAUAUUCCCGUACCCGAUGUGUGGCGAUGGAGUGACGGAGAAGGCUCAGGCAACCAGCUGAUGGAAUAGCUGGGGCAAGCGAGAUACCUGCGCACCAGGGAAAUCCGGUGCGCAUAAGGGGAAGGCGCGAUGCAUACGGAAAGCUUCGGCAAGUACGGAAAAGCUGAGAGCAGGCUUCCAGGAAAAGCUUCUAGCACAACACACAUCGGCCCGUACCGAAAAUGGACACACAUGGGCAAGGAGAGAAUCCUGAGGUGAGCGAGAGAACUAUAGCUAAGGAACUCUGCAAAAUGACCCCGUAACCUAGGGAGAAGGGGUGCUCCAGAAAUGGAGCCGCAGUAAAACGGCCCAAGCGACUGUUUACCAAAAACACAGCUCUCUGCGAAGGCGCAAGCCGAAGUAUAGGGGGUGACGCCUGCCCGGUGCUGGAAGGUCAAGGGGAGCUGUCAGCGCAAGCGAAGCAGCGAGCCGAAGCCCCAGUAAACGGCGGCCGUAACUAUAACGGUCCUAAGGUAGCGAAAUUCCUUGUCGGGCAAGUUCCGACCCGCACGAAAGGCGUAACGAUUUGGGCGCUGUCUCAGCUGUAGACUCGGUGAAGUCUUAGUACCUGUGAAGAUGCAGGUUGCCCGCGACUAGACGGAAAGACCCCAUGGAGCUUCACUGCAGGUUGACAUUGGGCUUGGAUGCAUGAUGUACAGGAUAGGUGGGAGGCUGUGAGCCGUGCGCGCCAGCGUACGGGGAGCCGCUGUUGGGAUACCACCCUUCAUGCAUCUAGGUCCUAACCGGAGGCAACGGGCCACGGGACAGUGUCAGUCGGGCAGUUUGACUGGGGCGGUCGCCUCCCAAAGAGUAACGGAGGCGCCCAAAGAUACCCUCAGCAUGGAUGGAAACCAUGCAUAGAGUGCAAAGGCAUAAGGGUGUCUGACUGCGAGACAUACAGGUCGGGCAGGGACGAAAGUCGGGCUUAGUGAUCCGGCGGAUCCGAAUGGAAGGGCCGUCGCUCAACGGAUAAAAGCUACCCUGGGGAUAACAGGCUGAUCUCCCCCAA
rnacentral:rRNA from 1 species